UGGGGAAUAUUGGACAAUGGGCGAAAGCCUGAUCCAGCAAUGCCGCGUGAGUGAUGAAGGCCUUAGGGUUGUAAAGCUCUUUUACCCGGGAUGAUAAUGACAGUACCGGGAGAAUAAGCCCCGGCUAACUCCGUGCCAGCAGCCGCGGUAAUACGGAGGGGGCUAGCGUUGUUCGGAAUUACUGGGCGUAAAGCGCACGUAGGCGGCUUUGUAAGUUAGAGGUGAAAGCCCGGAGCUCAACUCCGGAACUGCCUUUAAGACUGCAUCGCUAGAACGUCGGAGAGGUAAGUGGAAUUCCGAGUGUAGAGGUGAAAUUCGUAGAUAUUGGGAAGAACACCAGUGGCGAAGGCGGCUAACUGGUCCAGCACUGACGCUGAGGUGCGAAAGCGUGGGGAGCAAA
rnacentral:rRNA from 1 species